GAUGUUUAAUAAGUUACGAACUGUAAAGGUUUAAUUAUUGACAAAGUAGAAUAUAUUAUCUUUAGUACCUUUUGUAUCAGGGUAUGCCAAAUUAGUAUUGUAAAAAUAUUCCCGAUGUGUGAAGAGUUAAGAUGUAUAAUUAUUGAAUGUGGCAACAUUCUUAAGUAGUUAUCUUAGAUGUAAUAUGCUAGUCAUUUCACAGGAUAGCUGGUUGUUCUAGAAAAAAUUUUAUAUUUGUCUGAUAUGAAAUUUAUUGGAUUUAUACUUGUAAAGAUAAGCUUUUAAGUAUUGUAAAAUAUUUAAAUCUUAGUAAUUAAUUAGAAUUAAAAGUGUUUAGUUUUUAUAUAAUAAUGGCAUGUUUUAUAAAUGAAUUUAAAAAAUAUUUAUGGAUUAAAGAAUUAAUUAAUUUAACAAUUGAAUUAUUGAAAUAUUGGCAUAAUUAGUACAGAUUUUUGAUGGUGAAUUUAUAUUGAAAUUUUAGGGUAACUGUUUAAGUUUUUCUGAAGAAUUAGGCAAUAAUUAAUCCGAAUGUUUACCAAAAACAUUUCCUCUAAUUGUUAGAGGUAUCCCCUGCUCACUGCUUUGUAAAGAGCUGCGGUAUGAUGACUGUGCUAAGGUAGCAUAAUGAUUUGCUUUUUAAUUGGGGGCUUGAAUGAAAGGGUUAACGAGAUUAAAACUUUUUUAGAAAGUGGGUGUAAUUUUAUUUUUAAGUGAAAAAGCUUAAAUAUAUUAAAAAGACGAGAAGACCCCAAGAAUUUAGAUUGAUAAUUUAAUUUUGUUUAUAAUAAUUUAAAUUAAAUGGAAAAUCUUGGCUGGGGCGGCUUGUGAGUAAAUUAACCUCAUAAUUUAUUUAACUAUUUAUAGGAUGCUUGAAGUUUCAGGAUUUGAUUGAAAAAUUACCUUGGGGAUAACAGCGUAAUUUUAGUUAAAAGUUCUUAUAAAAAUUAAAGUUUGCGACCUCGAUGUUGGAUUAAGAGUUAAUAUAAAAGCAGUAUUUUAUAAUUUAGGUCUGUUCGACCUUUAUAAAUCUUACAUGAUCUGAGUUAAGACCGGCGUGAGCCAGGUUGGAUUCUAUCUUUUAAAAAUUUUAGAGAUGUUAGUACGAAAGGAAGGCAUUAUACUACUAAGUGGGGCUUCUGAAAAUAUAUAAGGUAUUU
rnacentral:rRNA from 1 species